rnacentral:ncRNA from 1 species
AUACUUCAAAUCAGAGAACCUGGAUUAAUAAAACGGCAAUCCUGAGCCAACUCCGCUUUCCAAAAAAGAUAGGUGCAGAGACUCAAUGGAAGCUAUUCUAACAAAUGUCGUUGACUUCGUUGCAUUGUUAUAAGAAUACAUCCUCAAAAGAUGAAGAAGAACGUAUAUACAUAUGUAUACGUGCUGAAAGUGAAAUACUAUACUGUAUCGAAAAAAAAAAUUCAAUUCAUGAUGACCCGAAUACAUUUUUUUUCAUAUUCAUAUAAAAAAGGGGAAGAAUUGUUGUGAAUUGAUUCCAAGUUGAAGAAAGAAUUGAAUAUGAAUUUCAUAAAUUCAAAUGAAAAAUCCCGUGUCUGAUAGAUCUUUUGAAGAACCGAUCAAUUGGAUGAGAAUGAAGAUAGAGUCCCAUUCUACAUGUCAAUACCGACAAGAAUGAAAUUUAUAGUAAGAGG